rnacentral:rRNA from 2 species
GCUUACACAUGCAGUCGAGCGGGCGUAGCAAUACGUCAGCGGCAGACGGGUGAGUAACGCGUGGGAACGUACCUUUUGGUUCGGAACAACACAGGGAAACUUGUGCUAAUACCGGAUAAGCCCUUACGGGGAAAGAUUUAUCGCCGAAAGAUCGGCCCGCGUCUGAUUAGCUAGUUGGUGAGGUAACGGCUCACCAAGGCGACGAUCAGUAGCUGGUCUGAGAGGAUGAUCAGCCCCAUUGGGACUGAGACACGGCCCAAACUCCUACGGGAGGCAGCAGUGGGGAAUAUUGGACAAUGGGCGCAAGCCUGAUCCAGCCAUGCCGCGUGAGUGAUGAAGGCCCUAGGGUUGUAAAGCUCUUUUGUGCGGGAAGAUAAUGACGGUACCGCAAGAAUAAGCCCCGGCUAACUUCGUGCCAGCAGCCGCGGUAAUACGAAGGGGGCUAGCGUUGCUCGGAAUCACUGGGCGUAAAGGGUGCGUAGGCGGGUCUUUAAGUCAGAGGUGAAAUCCUGGAGCUCAACUCCAGAACUGCCUUUGAUACUGAGGAUCUUGAGUUCGGGAGAGGUGAGUGGAACUGCGAGUGUAGAGGUGAAAUUCGUAGAUAUUCGCAAGAACACCAGUGGCGAAGGCGGCUCACUGGCCCGAUACUGACGCUGAGGCAC